rnacentral:lncRNA from 1 species
UGUUAACCUUCAUCAUUUGGUUAAGGAUGGUGUUUGUCAUGUUUCUCCAGUGUACAGUAACUAUUUUUCCUGUAUCGAGAGAGCAUAUGGAGAGAAGAAGGAAAACACAUGUUUCUAAUUUCACGAAAUAUGUUUCCUUUGCGCUCCUGAGGGGCUUGAUGAAAACCUUAUACUAUGUCUGCUGGACAGGACACUGGAGCAAGAGAUACUGGAGAUCUCUCUGCAUCCUGGCACCAAACCCAAACCAGUAACUCUGGGACAUUCUUGACUGAGGGUUAACCUCAGAAACCUGGUAAUCCAUAUGAUCCCACAGCUAUGCCUCAUGGCCCAAAGGGCAGGAUUUCAUCUCCACCGUCCUUUUCUUCAACGUGAAGGGCUGUUGGCCCUACUCACAGAGGGCUCUGUGUUGAACCAAGGUGCUUCAUGCAACAGUCCCAGCUGAGCUCCC